UAUCUUGUAAUUUCACCGAUUGUUAACUUGCAGAUCAGUAACCAUCCGCAGAAUGAAAAAAUUCUAACGAAAAAGUCUUUGCAAAUUAAUUAUUUCAGUAAUCUUCCGACACCGCCAUACAAACACGCAAGCUAUGGAGUUGCGCCUUAAUAGAAAAAGUCGCAAAACUGAUUGUAGUUUGACAGUUGAGUUUUGACAGUGGAAUCUGUCGUUCAUUGCAAAGCGAAGUCCGGCGCAUAUCACAAAUAACGCAACAGUACAGUGCUAAGCAAGCAAAAAAAUUCACUGAAUUUGGAAAAGUAGAUGCAUUAAGAACAAUAGUGGUAAUUGGUCUCUUUUUGUCAGUAUUAAAUUUCACUUCCUACACGAUGAGUUUCACAGAGUGCUUUAUUUUCUUGCGACUCCUUCGAUGUGAACGAAACCACGUAGAUUAGACGCAUUUCAGAAAAGUAGCAUGGAACACAACGACACUAACGCUUACUUAACCAAUAGUUUUAUAUCUUAAUACUGAAAGAGUGUAUGUACUUAGCAGUACCUAGUAACGAAAGAUUUACUUUGAGGGACGCCGGUGCACCAUCUGCACUCUAUGGAUGUUAUAAUCACAAGUUCGGAUGGUUUUGAUGGAGACAAAUCAGCUUCACGUUCCACGUUGUUUCUUCUGCAUCAUGAUAAGUUUUUUCGAUUGCAGCAUCGUUCUAACAAAGGAAAUACUAAAAAAAAAAAAAUUAUGUCAAUCGAUUGUGAUAGUGCCAAGAUCUCGGUGACGAUUCCCAUAUCGCCCACUCUCGACACUAAUAAACCUUCAAUCGCACUCCAUACACACAAAUUAGUAACUUAGUUAUCAUUUACCGAUGUUAAUAUCGACGACAUGCAGCUUUAUUUACCAACUUUAAUUUCUAAUAUCUCGAAAUGCAGUCCCACUGGAAUAAUACGUUUAAAUUUUGCUAUACUAUUUUGCUGCAAUAAACGAAAAAAACUACAGUGUGAAAUACAAGUCGUACGCCUACAUCGCCGUAGCGUCCUGUGUCUGUUGUAUUUUGAAUAACCAUGUAGAACAAUCCUGUUAUGCCAUUACAGGAAUCAGCCUUACUCUAUGCGACCUUACAACACUGCCUUGGCAAAAAUGCAGUAGCAUGCACCGAAAUAUUUUAAUUUUUGAAUAAUUUCAUUGAUUAAAUUGCGAAAUAUUUUCAACGUUUCUCCAGUCUAAUGGCAAAAGAAAACAAACGUAGUACCUAAAGUAAGUUUGCAAAACUAUAUACACAUGAAAGUUCAAAGUUUAUUAAGUUAAUAUUUAACUGAAUGUACAAAGAUUGAAUCUUGUUAAAAUUUAAUAGAAUAAACUCCAGUCUCCAGAAUACAUUCAAUCUAUGAAAUAAUUUUAUGAUAUAUUUAUAUAUUUAGAAUUUAAUAUAUAUAUAUUUUUUUAUUUAUUUCAUUUAUUACAAAGCUAAGAGAGAAGAACAAAUGAUAAUUAUUUAUUAAUCGGAAUAUACUUUGAUAGAUUAAUUAUAAGUAGUAAAUGAUAAAUUAUUGAUUACAAGGUGAAAGUAUAUAUGUACUAUUUGACAACAUUAUUUCCUUGACUUUAGAGGUAAAACUUGUUACUUUUAGGCCUGCGUAGUCUUUAUUUUGAAAGGUAAAUUGUUUUGCUUCAGAUUAGUUUGAAUAGUAAUUAGUGCGUUAAGCGCUGGGUGUUGAUUAGAAAUAAAAUAAAUAUAAAGAUAAAAUAUAUAAAAUUAAAGAAAAAAUAAUUUAAGGCCGAUCUGUAAAAUGGAAGGGGCGUGGUGGAAUUUUUAAGGGUUAAAACGGUUUAACUAAAUUUCCGGCAAAACUACGAGUCAAAAAUAUCUAAAAUUUUUGUAUUAACAUCUUUUCAUAUAACCUCAAAAUUUAUGUAAAAAAUUUAAAAAUUCAAAUUUAUUUUUAUCUUGCACAAAAAUUUCGUGCGCCAGUCGUUGCAAACUGUCUUCCUUGUAGCAAUUUCUUUAAGGGGUUAGGGGUAGUCAGAGGCACGAAAAAAUGAGAAUUGAUUUUUUGAGAAUUUCGACUACCCCUAACCCCUUAAUUGCUAUACUUUUAAAUCGUGGAUUUUUGCCACAUUCGUCAACACGCAGUUUUAGUGGAAAUCAAAAAUCUCCCUUCAUUUCUAUAAGUAAUUAUUGUACAUAUACCUAUUUAUAUAGUACAUUUGCAAUUCUUAAUAUUAAAGCUAAUUUCGUCAUAAGGCUUUGGCUCUGUGAUGAAAUUUCAAAGUGCAGAUUAUUACUUUACUGUUGAUCAAAACUAAAAAUUUAUUAUCAAAACAAAGAACAAAGAAGAUAUCGAUUCGUUAUGUAAAUAUUGAUUUAGAAUGGACUUCCAACUGCGUAGCUGCAUAAAUGCAAAGUGUGCAGAAACGAGUUAAAGGGAGUAAAUUAAAAUCGACCGGUUAAAGUAUUUGCAGUUUUCUAAGAUUAAGAACGAUGCCCAUAUAUUUUGGGUUAUCCAUGGCUUCUUCUGUGAAAAGUAUAGCACUGGUAAAGUUUAAUUUUUAAAACAACGUGGCUUUUUGUUGGUUCGCAAUAACGAUAACUCUUUUGUAAUGUUGCAAAUGAAGCAAACCGUAACACGAUUUGUUGAAGUCUUGAAUCCUUUUGAAUUAUCAUUGUAUCUAAUUAAUGUUGACGAAGUUAAUGCUUUGAAAAAUAAUCCGCUUUCGUCAGCGUUAAAUAUCUCCUUCGCGUUGUAAUUUCAGAUUAAAUCAAGUUGUUUGAAAAACUUGUUGGCGCUUUUAAGAUUUGAAGUUGUUUUACCAAAAUACAUUCACGUUUCUGACAACGCCAUAAUCAGCCGGCGGUGGGACUAAAGUCCUUAAUCAACUUAAUGGCUAGCUGCUUUGCUUUUUCAUAGACCAUAUUUUCAGAUAUUACAGCGCCUGAUGACCGCAUUUGGUUCAACCAAGUGGUUAUAGCCUAUAUAGAGUGAAUAGUACAGGCAGCUUAUGCAGAAAAUGUAGAGAAUUCAAAUUCCCUGAAUUGGGAAGUAUUAAAAAUAUAUAAGUUUUUUCGCGAACACGCGGAAAGAAUUAAAACGAUUGUUUUGGUUGUCCUGGUGGAAUGGAAAUCUUUAUUUCCAACUUACUCUUAUUUAUACAUUUUUCUUAUCUGCUUAAAGCUAUUUCACAAUGAUUAAUUCUUACAAUAAGAAGAGUGUCAGUUACAAUAUUAGCUUAUGCGGCAUAUUUCAGCAGAACGUUAAACGUUCUGUUUAGUUUACAAUUAUCUUCGUGUGAGGGCCACCAGCAAUAUUUUGAUAAGAAUGGAUUAUCAUAGCAUAUCAAAUUCCUGAGUGAUCAAUAAUUUAUGUAAGUUUGUAACUCGCCAAUAAAACACUUCUGAUUUUCACUUUACAUUUUAUUUCUUCACUGCUAUCCGUUUACUUCAAUGGUCACAAUUCUUCUCUUCUUAUAAGCUAAAAACCUUAUUCCCUAAAUCUUU